UACGUAGGGUCCAAGCGUUAUCCGGAUUUAUUGGGCGUAAAGCACAUGUAGGUGGAGUGGUAAGUCUUCUCUUAAAGCUCUGAGCUCAACUCAGAAUCUGGAGGAGAUACUAUCACUCUAGUGGUCAGCAGGGGCAAACGGAAUUCCCGGUGUAGGAGUGAAAUCCGUUGAUAUCGGGAGGAACACCAAUGGCGAAGGCAGUUUGCUAGGCUGAUUCAGACACUGAGAUGUGAAAGCGUGGGGAGCGAACGGG
rnacentral:rRNA from 1 species